AAAGAAAAGAAGAUGAUUUGGACGAUGAUCUUAAUGCCAGAUCAGCUAACAAUAAAAGGGCAAGACCAGAUCAGAGCUUAGAUGUGUCACAGGAAGAGGAUCGUGUUGCGGAAAAAACAGAUACGCAAAUGAUUGAGCAAGCGGAAAGGGCUCUUUCAGACAUGGUUGGUGCGAAACUAAACCGCCAAACCACAAACGCAGCUGCUAUAAGACCUGCAAGGUACCCAUACUUCAGUAAUGAAUCAUAUAGGAUUCAGUCAUAUUCAAAAUGGCCUCAUAAAAUACCAUCGAGGGAAGAUUGUGCUAAAGCCGGUUUCUUUUAUACAGGUCAAAUGGACCUGAUCAGAUGCUUCCAAUGCGGAAUAGGCCUUAAAGAUAUCAGCCCUGAAGAUGACCCUCUGAUUGAACACUUUCAACACG